AGUGGAGAAAGAAUGUGUUGAGAUUGAUAUCAAGUAUGAAGGCUUCAUUAUGCGGCAACAAAACCAACUUCAAUAGAUGGUCCAUAAACAACAUAAACCAAUUCCAGAGGACUUGGAUUACUAUGCAAUGACAACUUUGUCUCUUGAAGCACGUGAGAAACUGUCCAAGGUCAGGCCGCAAACCAUUGGGCAAGCAAGCAAGG